GCACGCCUACCCGCUUCCUCAGCACGGUUAUCCACCACCUGGUCAGGGAUACAUGCCGCAGGGUCCUCCUCAGUAUGUCCAUCCGCCGCCUCAGCAACAACAGCAGAGCAAUGGGCCAUCAUUCAUGCAAGGAUGUUUGGCAGCCCUAUGCUGUUGCUGCCUGUUGGAUGCUUGCUUUUGAUUGAGAGCAAGUGGGGGAAGUGGGGGUUAGAACACGGCCGGGACUAAGCAUGUGUAAAUGACAUGAUGCUAUCUUCCAUCUCUCAUUAAAUUAAUCUUUUUCUUUUUAUUACCACUUUGUGAUGAAUUUCGAGUAUACAUACUUACAAGCGAAAUCAUUCCAUUAAAAGCGUGUUGCUGCUGCCUAUUUGCUUGUGUUGGAUUUUAUCAAACUUCCUCCAAUACUUGGCUAAAUUUUUGGAUGGAUUAAUAUCUGACGCAUGUAUUUUGGAGGCUUUGUAAA